CCGUAGGUGAACCUGCGAAAGGAUCA
rnacentral:rRNA from 1 species